rnacentral:tRNA from 1 species
GCGCCCUUCGUCUAUCGGUCAGGACGGGACCCUCUCACGGUCCAAAGAGGGGUUCGAUUCCCCUAGGGCGUACCA